UUAAUUUAUUAAUUAAGUUUACUCAGACUGCAAAGUUACGCAAGAGUUUGAAGUGUCCACCCGGAGCCCCCGCCCGAAGGCAGGGUCGCCCCGGAGGCAACAGAGUCGGAAAACAAAGGGUUGUGCGUUCCCAGCUGUACAAGCCUGGGGCGUCAUAUAAUGAUCCCUCCGCAGGUUCACCUACGGAGA
rnacentral:misc_RNA from 1 species